rnacentral:lncRNA from 1 species
UGUAUUUAUGUAUUGCUAUAUAUAGCAUUGUUUUUAGUGUAUAUAUAUACUAAUGCAUAUAACCUUACAACACAUUAGUUAUCUGUUAUAUUUACAGUUAUUAGUGUGUAAAAUAAACCUUGAUGUAUGUGUGUGUGUGUGUUUUCUAUAUAUAUAUCCGAUGAGCAUACAUACUGAUAUGUUUGUAUGUAAAGUGCAUAACUGUUUAUAUACAAUGUACUAAUAUAAACGUUUCUAUAUACAUUGAUGUAUAUGACCAUAUAUAUACUUAUUAUCAGUUUAUACAGUUGUUAACUUAUAUGUACACUGAUUUAUAUACUACACUCAUAUUCACACUAACACUCACACGCACUCACACUCACAUUCACACUCAUAGAUAUAUAUACCACACAUAUAUGCGUGGUGUAUGGACUGAUGUGUAUAUAUAUACGAUAUGUAUAUACUGAUAUUUUUAUACAUGUAUAUAUACAGUUGCUUGCUAUCCGUUAUAUACAAUUAUCAAUGUAUAUAUACAUUUAUAUGCGCAUGAAUAUGCACCCUUACGCGUUGAUAAAUACAUAUAUACUGUGUAUGUAUACAUUAAUACAUGAAUUCUAUAUACACUUAUAUAUAUGAUCAUAUAGACUUUUAUUAGCAGUUUAUGUGUCUAUAUAUACGAUAUGUACAUACCGAU